rnacentral:rRNA from 1 species
UACGUAGGUGGCGAGCGUUGUCCGGAUUUACUGGGCGUAAAGGGAGCGUAGGCGGACUUUUAAGUGAGAUGUGAAAUACUCGGGCUCAACUUGAGUGCCGCAUUUCAAACUGGAAGUCUAGAGUGCAGGAGAGGAGAAUGGAAUUCCUAGUGUAGCGGUGAAAUGCGUAGAGAUUAGGAAGAACACCAGUGGCGAAGGCGAUUCUCUGGACUGUAACUGACGCUGAGGCUCGAAAGCGUGGGGAGCAAACAGG